AUAAUGAGGAAAGAUGCUCAGAAAGAUCCUGAAGUAUUUCCAGAUGCACUGUGUGCAAGGCUUUUAAUCAAUCAGGUGGACAAGAAAUUAGUGAAGCAGACAGUGAUGACAUCAGUGUAUGGUGUAACUUACAUUUGUGCUCGGGAUCAGAUCAAGAGAAGGUUGAAGGAACGUAAUGCCAUCGCAGAUGAUACAGAGCUCUUUGGUGCAGCCUGUUAUGCUGCAAAA